UAGGCUAAUCCUUCGCCUUGCGGCGCUGGCACACCGGGUUCUAGUCCCGGUCGGGGUGCCAGAUUCUGUCCCGGUUGCCCCUCUUCCAGGCCAGCUCUCUGCUGUGGCCAGGGAGUGCAGUGGAGGAUGGCCCAAGUAUUUGGGCCCUGCACCCCAUGGGAGACCAGGAGAAGUACCUGGCUCCUGCCAUUGGAUCAGCGCGGUGCGCCGGCCGCAGCGUGCUGGCCGCGGUGGCUAUUGGAGGGUGAACCAACGGCAAAGGAAGACCUUUCUCUCUGUCUCUCUCUCUCACUGUGCACUCUGCCUGUCAAAAAAAAAAAAAAAAGAUUUAUUAUUGGGGGCCGGCACCAUGGCUCACUUGGUUAAUCCUCCGCCUGCAGCGCCGGCAUCCCAUAUGGGCACCGGGUUCUAGUCCCGGUUGCCCCUCUUCCAGGCCAGCUCUCUGCUGUGGCCCGGGAGUGCAGUGGAGGAUGGCCCAAGUGCUUGGGCCCCUGCACCCGCAUCGGAGACCAGGAGAAGCACCUGGCUCCUGGCUUCAGAUCGGCACAGCAGCCAUUUUGGGGGUGAACCAUCAGAUGGAAGACAUUUCUCUCUGUCUCUCUCACUGUCUAACUCUGUCAAAUAAAAAAAAAUAAGAUUUAUUAUUUGCAAAGCAGAGUUCCACAGAGAGAAGGAGAGACAGAAAGAGAUACAGAGAGCUCUUCCACCUGCUGGCUCACUCCCUAGAUGGCCACAACAGCCGGGGCUGAAGGGAGCCCGGAACUCCCUCCAGAUCUCCCAAGGUGGGGUGGCAGGGGCCCAAGGAAUUGGGCGGUCAGCUGAUGCUUUCCUGACCACAUUAGCAGUGAGCCAGAUUGGAAGUAGAGCAGCCGGGACUGGAACCUGCACGCGGGUAUGGGAUGCACGUGUUGUAGACGGUGGCUUAAUUGGCCAUGCCACAACACCGGCCCUUCAGCCCAGAAGUAUUUUAACCAUGCCAAAAAGGGGGGUGGAGGCUGGAAUAGUGAAAAAAAAAACUUUGGGAUUUUUGGCUUCCAAGAAAAGGGGAAAAGUGGAAGAUUUACUAUUGUUUAGCCUUUGAGCGGUUUCCCUGUGUGCCCCUGAAAUUUCUGUUGUGCUUGGCCCGUGGAUUUCUCCUCUGUGGCUUGUCAGUUUCAGCGGCGCGGGUGCUGAGAGGCUGUGCAGGCUGUGUGUGCCUCCUCGAGGCAGGUGGCAGGGGUCGGGAGCGCUGUCUGCCUCCCCCAUCUGCGGGAGCAUGAUGGGAGCCGCAGUGUAUUUUGGUUUUGUCUGAGUCGCAGCCUGGAGGUGUGCUCUCUACUGGAAGAAUACAGCUCCUUCGCAAUAAUCAUCUAUUCUACCAUAUUGGGCGGGGGUGGUCGUGCCGAUUGUUUGCUCCGGUGAACGGGAUCAGUCUUUUUUCAUUUAAGAUGCAGAGACACUGACGGAACAAACCCAACACGGGUGUUUCACACCCAUAGAAUUUACCAGGACGUCUCCGCAUCACUUAUUCAAGAACAUGUCUGCAAGAUGCCACUGUAACAGGUGCAAAGGGAGAAACUCAGACAGCCACGUAGGCUUUGCCUACAAACGCUCACCGGCUAUUUGCCUCGCUUAAAACCACGCUAGCUGGUGAUUUAAUGAGACUGAUGGAACCAAGUCGGUGUUCCCUGCAGCCACGAGAAGAUGUAUAUAUUCCCCUUCGGAAAGGGCUGCUGCCCUAUUGUAGAAAGUGACGUGCAGUUAGCCGGUUUCCUUCAAAUGUGACUCUCCGGGAAGAAUAAAAUUGAAUAGAGAAAGGAGCAGGCUUCUUCUUGCUUGCUUCUCAUUUCCCCAGGAUUCUGUGACUCAACAUAGAAUCCUGCUACAACCGCCUUCAAGCUGCUUCACAGAACCUGUCAGGGGUGCGCCCUGCCUGCCAUGGGACUCAGCUGAUAGCCUGUCAAUACAGUUACAGGGAGAGACUGCUGGGUUUGCGCCCCUGACAACCUCAAACCUCCUGGCGCCCUGCAGAAAGCAGCCUGUGUUCAGGGCCUGACUUUGCGGAAGCGAGCACCCUCGGAAAGUGCAAAUGAUCACGACGCCCGAUUUCUCCAUAAUUUAUUGCUGACUUUGUUUUUCCGUGGGCGUUUAUGUCACAAAUAAGAAGUGCAUGCCUCUGUACGAUAGAGUCAUAGAAUCAGCGUUUGGGGGUGCAGAGCAGCUGACGCAGACACCCAGCCCAGCCAGGGGGGAGAGGCCCGGCCUGAGGUGCUACGCUGACGUGGUGGCAGAAGCAGGGGGAGACCCAGGCGCGUGGCCUCCAGCCCCGUGAUUUUUUGGACAUAAAAUGCAAUUAGUUCAUCAGUGACGACUUAGACUGGGUACAUGUUGCAUAGCACCCAGCCCAAGAAAGUCACAAAUGAAUCUGAUUCCAGGAUCAUUUUAUUCAGUGUUCCUUCCCAAGUGAGAUCUACUGAUGUCGCAGGGCUUGUGGACGGCCAAGAAAUACUUCCUGAAUGUUUUCAAGGCUCAGCGCCAUCAUGAGCUCUCUUGGAAGACACGGGUUUAGAAUGCAGCCUUGCCCACCAGGAGUUAACGCAGAUUUUCAGCUGGGGACAUGAGAUGAGUCUUAGUGUAGCUAGCACCUGCCUUAAAGAAAGCUCUCAGGAGAUGCUAACUCCUAGUGUACAUAUGUGUACGUGCGUGCACACACACACAUACACGCGUAAUAUGAAGGCAACGUCAUGGGUAGGCUUUCAAGUGAACCACACUGCCCAGAGGGUUGGUGAUUGAGGGGAGGGAGCCCCGGGCAGGGCUUGGUGGAGCUUUACAAAGCAGCAGACCUGGAAGCAGACUUUGAAGGGGCAAGAGGCAGAGUCAGAAGGGGGUGAGGAAGGGGGCUGGAAAGAAAGCCAGCCGUCCUUAGACAUGGCCUGCAUGUCUGUUGUUUUCACCCCAAACGCGAGUUCGGGUUCAUGGGCCUCAGCACCUCUACUGAGAUCCUUACGAUGACCACCACGGGGAACCCGUCACUGAGCGCCGGUGUGCUCGGGUGGAAUGAAUGCCCUUGCAGAAUUAGGUGACCACACCGGGCCCACAAGCAGCUUCACGUCUGCUCACAGAGACAAGGCGAAGGGGGCAGGUGGACGGAACAGGUGCACCAGUAACCAGCGUGGUCACUCUGUGUUAGGUGGACAGAACAGGUGCACCAGUAACCAGCGUGGUCACUCUGUAUUAGCGUGGUCACUCUGUAUUAGGUGGAUGGAACAGGUGCACCAGUAACCAGCGUGGUCACUCUGUGUUAGGUGGACAGAACAGGUGCACCAGUAACCAGCGUGGUCACUCUGUAUUAGGUGGACGGAACAGGUGCACCAGUAACCAGCGUGGUCACUCUGUAUUAGGUGGAUGGAACAGGUGCACCAGUAACCAGCGUGGUCACUCUGUAUUAGGUGGACGGAACAGGUGCACCAGUAUCCCAGCGUGGUCACUCUGUGUUAGGUGGACGGAACAGGUGCACCAGUAACCAGCGUGGUCACUCUGUGUUAGGUGGACGGAACAGGUGCACCAGUAACCAGCGUGGUCACUCUGUGUUAGGUGGACGGAACAGGUGCACCAGUAACCAGCGUGGUCACUCUGUGUUAGGUGGAUGGAACAGGUGCACCAGUAUCCCAGCGUGGUCACUCUAUGUUAGGUGGACGGAACAGGUGCACCAGAAACCAGCGUGGUCACUCUGUGCUAGCCUCGUGCACAAUGGGAAACGGUGCAGGAGGCUUUAUAUGCCGACCAGAAUAGCCCUCUGGUUGCUCAAAUCCUUUUACGCCCAAUUACAACAUAACGGGAUUAAGAAAUGGGCUUCCCGUCCUAAUGGCCUGGCCUUGGCUGGCUGGUGGGCAGGUUUCCUUUUACUGUGGGGCACGGUGGGUUUCUCUGUCCUUGCUUCUCUCUCUCUCUCUCUCUCUUGCUUUCCCUCACUCAUGUGCUUUCUCUCUCCCUCCUUCUCUCCUAUUUUUUCUUUUUUCCUCUUUUAAAAUCAAAGCCUCCCUCUUCCUGGUGCCAGCCCAUCUGUGGAGGAGGCUGAAGCAGUGAACCGAGCCCCCUGCCGGGCCCAGGGGCCAAUCCAGAAAGCAGAGCUGCUUCUGCUCCCGUGGCUCCUCAGCACCGCCUGGGGGCAGCUGCCCGCCAGAGGAGCCCCGCCUCCCUCCUUGUCCCCCAGCAAAAGGGGUGCUUGGGCUUUGAAGCAGUAAAGAGAACGGGACCUCAGAAUCCGGGUUCCUCCUGCCCGACACCUUCCGCCUCGGUGGCUCUCAGAAGGCUGCAGUGGUGUGGCUGGGAGGUCAGUCCUCCAGCAAGACUUCUGAAGCCUGGCCGGGCAAGUCGGCAGUGGCUUCCAGCACCUUCCAGACGGUUCCAGGCUCAAAGUUUGUUCACGCUAUGAUCCGGCUGCUUUUCCCCCACUUAUUUGAAAGACGAGGUUGUCUCGACGUGUAACUGGCCCUGCGGACAGAGUUUCAAAACGGUUUUCUGCUGCAGAGUUUUUCAGACUAGUACGGUCUCAUGAAACAAACUCAGAGUUUUUAAAGAAGCCACGUCUUUAUUUUAAAAAUUUUGCCACAGAGUAAAUGCGAUUCGACGCGCCCCACAGUGUUAGCUGUGCUUUGAGUUUGCUGAUCUCGGGGCGUUAGUCCUGUGGUUGUGUUCGCAACACUGAUACAUGUGUCCCGGGCAGCGAAGGCUCGCACCAGACGUGGGACAUUAAGGUCGGGCAAGUGCGAUGGUGCAGGGCCCGCCCUGCCGCAUUCCCCGAGAACAGAGCUCUGUCCAGCUCCAGCCCCAGGACCUUUGGGGCAGCUGGGCGAAGGCACAGCAGUCGCGCUCACCCGGCCGUUGGUUGGUGUGAGCUAGCGUAGGUUGCAUUUGUAGAGUGCAGUGGAUUGUCUCUCAUCAGACCUCUCAUCAGAUCGCAAAAAGUAAGAAACGCCAGCGUUCAGUGGUUUGGGGAAGGCUCAACUGGAAGUGAAAUUCUCCGUUGAGUCUUUGUGCAAGCUCCUGAAUCAGGGCUAACCCGGGAGGCGGGGGUGGGGGGAGACUGUUAAAACCCUUCCAGGCCGGCGCCGCAGCUCACUAGGCUAAUCCUCCACCUUGCGGUGCUGGCACCCCGGGUUCUAGUCCCGGUCGGGGUGCCGGAUUCUGUCCCAGUUGCCCCUCUUCCAGGCCAGCUCUCUGCUAUGGCCAGGGAGGGCAGUGGAGGAUGGCCUAAGUGCUUGGGCCCUGCACCCCAUGGGAGACCAGGAGAAGCACCUGGCUCCUGCCAUCGGAUCAGCGCAAUGCGCCGGUCGCGGCGGCCAUUGGAGGGUGAACCAACGGCAAAAGAAAACCUUUCUCUCUGUCUCUCUCUCUCACUGUCCACUCUGCCUGUCAAAAAAAAAAAAAAAAAAAAACAAA